GUGAGGAAUAUUGGUCAAUGGGCGAGAGCCUGAACCAGCCAAGUCGCGUGAAGGAAGAAGGAUCUAUGGUUCGUAAACUUCUUUUGCAGGGGAAUAAAGUGCGGGACGUGUCCUGUUUUGUAUGUACCCUGAGAAUAAGGAUCGGCUAACUCCGUGCCAGCAGCCGCGGUAAUACGGAGGAUCCGAGCGUUAUCCGGAUUUAUUGGGUUUAAAGGGUGCGUAGGUGGGUUGAUAAGUCAGCGGUGAAAGUUUGCAGCUUAACUGUAAAAAUGCCGUUGAAACUGUCGGACUUGAGUGUAAAUGAGGUAGGCGGAAUGCGUGGUGUAGCGGUGAAAUGCAUAGAUAUCACGCAGAACUCCGAUUGCGAAGGCAGCUUACUAAGCUACAACUGACACUGAAGCACGAAAGCGUGGGGAUCAAACAGGAUUAGAAACCCGUGUAGUCC
rnacentral:rRNA from 1 species